AAUAUCGCACGCUUAGCCUUGGGGACCCCGCUCGUCUCAUAACACCCUCUAGCGCGACGUUAAACAAUAUGCAGGAGAGACCAUCACCUUGUCGGAGCCCCCUGUGAGACUCGAAUGGGUCCGACGUUCCACCCGAAAUUUUCACAUCCUCCAUCGUAGCCUUAAUCAGUUUUGUCAGCUUCCCCGGAAAGCCGUUUUCGUCGAGAAUUUUCCAUAGCUCUUGUUGGUUUAUUGUAUCGUAUGCGGCUUUAAAAUCGACGAAAAGAUGGUGUGCAGGGACUCUAAACUCACGGCACUUUUGGAAGAUCUGCCGUAGUGUAAAGAUUUGGUCAGUCGUAGACCGUCCUUUCAUGGAGCCGGUCUGGCAGCUUCCUACAAACCUGCUGGCUAAUGGUAACAGGCGUCUCCUGUUGUGGUCUCAAGCUCGCACGCUAUUCAGCUGUUAAUCGUUGUGCUGCUUCCAUUUUUCGAUCACCUCACGAUCAUCCGUCAAAAUGCCUCCAUUCUUAUCGCUACACAUUUCGGAUCGUGGGACAAAGCCUCUGCGGGAUGCGUUGAGUUUUUGGUAGAACUUUCGUGUUUUGUGUGUGCGGUACAGCUGCUCGAGCUCUUCACAUUCCUCCUUUUCCUGGAGACGCUUUUUUUCCUUGAAGAGUUGGACUUGCUGCCUCCGUUUUAGUCUACAUCGCUCCACAUUCUGACGGGUGGCUCUACGCAGCAUUGUUGCCCGCGCUGCGUUCUUCUCGUCCAAAAUCUGCCGACAUUCUUCGUCAAACCACUCGUUACGUCGAUUCGGUUGCACGUGUCCCAGGAUUUCCUCCGCAGCACUGCUGAUAGCUAUUUUCACGGCAUCCCAGCGAUCCCCUAGAAGGGCUUCUUCAAGCUCUCCCUCUUCUGGCAGAGCAGCUUCGAGCGAUGAAGCGUACUGUGUUGCGAUGUCGUUUUGCUUCAGUCGCGCAAGAUUAUACCGUGGCGGGCGACGGUACCGUAUGUUAUUCACAACGGAUAGUUUUUGGCGUAUCUUAACCAUCACUAGGUAGUGAUCCGAAUCGAUGUUAGCGCCUCGAUGUGAUCUGACGUCGAUAAUGUCCGAGAAGUGCCGACCAUCUAUCAAAACGUGGUCGAUUUGUGUUUCUGUUCUAUUCGGUGAUCUCCAGGUGAGUAUGUUGGAGGCUAUGCUGGAAGAAGGUGCUACGUAUGGCCAUGUUCUUGGUGGUGGCAAAGUCGAUUAGUCCGAGGCCAUUCUCAUUCGUCAGCUGGUGUGCACUGGAUCGUCCAAUUACCGGUCUGUACUUCUCCUCCUGGCCAACCAUCAUGUUUUGGGCAGCGGUCAUAUUUACUCCCCAACUGCGCGUAGAAUUCGUCCUUGUCGUCAUCGGUACUUCCGAGGUGUGGGCUAUGAUCCUCAACCUGCACAUUCUAGGGCUGAUUGGCCACCACCCGAUCACCCGCUUCUGCAUCCCUCCCAUCACUAUAAAAACUGUUUCCAGCUCAUGUGUGCUUCCACAACUCUGGUAGAUGGUGUGACCAUCCCUGUACGUACGCACCAUCGUCCCCUUCCAGCAUACCUCCUGCAGCGCUACGAUGUUGAACUUGCGUCUUCAAUCCCUCGGAAAGCACGCGGGUACUUUCUAGGAAGUUGAGAGAUCGGCAGUUCCGUGUUCCGAGAAUCCAAUCGUUAGUCCGUUUUCGUUGCCUAGGUCCUAGCCGAUUGUUCCGGUCCGUAAUUACCGUUAUUGCGUUCGUUGCUGUUGUUUUUUAAUGGUGCCGGCUUGCAAGGCCAGCGACCAACCCCACUAUGUCACAGGAGGGCUAUUGUUUAGACUCCAGGGCACUACCAGGACUUGAGAAGGACACUGCGAUACUUAGAAAGCUUCUGUUGGUGUCGAUCCCAGGAAACUCCCUUCCGAGGAAGGAAGCCCCGCCCCCUGUCAGCAUGCGACCAGCAGUCCCACCAGGGUUGGUUACCCGAUCUUUCCACUGGUUACUCGCACAUCAGUUGGUACCACGAGAAGGUAGCUGGAAGGCUGAGGUUCACUAGUGGGAACUGUUAUGCGCCUUUGGUCCAGUCAUUAACCAACCAUAUUCAAAGCUCAAGAAAGUCGAACUGUGUAAAAACGUUAUUUUUGAGAUGACAUCAAAUCUCGAUGUUUUAUGCAUUUCGGUUUCGAAAAAUUCAUAACCUACACUAGGUCCUACAGGCUGUUCCGGUAAUUAUUAAUACACUAACGAUUAACCGCAUUUCCAAGUAACGUGCAGUUUUCAGCCAAACUUUGGCUGCGUUCUGUUUUCUACGCAUUUUAAAAAUUCCGCUGAAUUUGGCACAAAUUGCCAAAAAUAUGCCGAGAUUGGGACCGCCAUGAAUUUGUGAGAACUUCGAUUGCAACGCUGGUAACUAUCGCGAUUACUCGAACGAACAGCCAACGAUUUAAAAAGGAUUUCGGAAGAUAUAAUAAUCGGGUGUUAUCUUGAACAAUUUAACUUUGUCUUUAUUCUAAUAUUUGCGGAGAUCAGGUUUUUAUAGGGAUGAGAACUAUAAUCUCGGGACAGAUGCCAUUUUAUGCCAAGAAUCGCGGUACGCAUUCGUAAAGAGCCGAUUUUUCAGUAAUUUCGUUCAAAAGAUAAAUUAUAUGCUGGAUUAGUUUUAUAGCGAAUUUCUUUAUUCCACUGGAUAAGGGGAAAUCUGCCGAGGAAUAAAGAAACGGCAUCGCGAUUCACGACGCAAGUAAGAAAGAGAUACCAGAUAAUUGUUUACGAACUAAGCACGUGCGGUGGUGGGUUGAAGCUAACAAAUUUCACAGUGCGCUUCGGGCAGCACGCCAGAUACUGGGUCAAAAUCGAGCGAACAAAGAAGUGUUUUGACAGCAGUUAGGUCGCUCCCAGGUCAAAACGAGGUGAGCUGGUGGAAUAAAGAAAUUCGCUAUUAGUAAGUAAAAAAAAAUUGUCACAACUUUUAUCUGCGCAAUGCGUGGCCUUUCUCCCGACCUAAGAAAACAAAUUGUGCACAAAUAUGACAUCGUGAGUGGUAUUUGGAUCAGAAAAUUAUACAAAGAAGAAGGUGUGUGUCGGAGCAGCUAAACUACAUUACAAAAGUAUGGUGAAGAGUAUACGUUUACAAAUGCCCCGAGACGUGGUAGAGAACCCGAGCCUGCUAAACCCACAAUGGACAGAAAGAUAACAGAUUACUACAAGUGGCAUCCUUCAGUAUUAGUACGAAAUGUAGCGAAAAACCAAGUACCUCAUCGAUCAACGUUAUGCCUACUUUGCAGAAGCUAAUGAGUGGUGUUGAAAAAAGUUACAGAACUCACGUAUCCAAAAAUAAUAUAAGUUAAAUUAAAAUUGUAAAGAAAGUAUCAUUAUUAAGCAUACUUGUAUUAGAAUAUUUAAAUGAAAUUUAUAAUUUAAAUUUGCACUAAAUCCAUCCAAACUUAAAUGUUCUGUAAUAUUUCUGUUAGCUGCUUUUUUUAAGAUACACGACAAAAUUAUAAGAGCAGUUGAAAUCAUUAAUUCUAUAUCUUUUCACUUGCAAAUGCGCAUUUUAAAGCUUACAUAGCGUUUUCUUCAGUGCUUAGAUGAACAGUCCAUCUAACGUAAGCGUUGGAAUGCGCAUUUGCAAGUGAUGAGUAAAAAGUGAUAGAAUUAAAAAGUGAAGUGAAAUAAAAAUGUAGUGUAAAAACUACCAUUCUAUUCUUGUAACCGACAUAGCUCAUAUUAAUACAUACUACAGUUUCAAUUUCAUGAAUACAUGCCACUUAACUAUAUAUUCAACGAAUGUGCUUUGUAUUAUAUGUGAACAAAAAUGUGCUUUGUAAAUCAUUAUCUAA